rnacentral:rRNA from 1 species
UACGGAGGGAGCAAGCGUUGUUCGGAUUUACUGGGCGUAAAGGGCGCGUAGGCGGCGUGACAAGUCACUUGUGAAAUCUCCGGGCUUAACUCGGAGCGGCCAAGUGAUACUGUCGUGCUAGAGUGCGGAAGGGGCUACUGGAAUUCUCGGUGUAGCGGUGAAAUGCGUAGAUAUCGAGAGGAACACCUGCGGCGAAGGCGGCACUCUGGGCUGGAACUGACGCUGAGGAGCGAAAGCGUGGGUAGCAAACAGG